CAGAGACUCGGUCCUGAGUUGCUCCUUGCAGACACUGAUUCUUUUCCUUGGGUUUCCUUCUAUGCUCACGUUGGGGCCUUACUGUAUGUGGGUUGAUGCUCAAACCUAUGCUGCAUUUAUCAGUUUGUACACGUGUCUGGGGCUGUGUAACUUAUUUGUCAGUGGUUCAUGAAUGUUAUAGAGCCAUUGUUCAGCCUAGAGAAACGGAGGACCAGAGGUACAAAUCCCAUCGCUGUCCACCCCACUGAGCCCCACCUCCCCAAGGGGCGUAGCAGACAGGCCUGUUUGGGGGUUAUCUGUAGAAUGUAGAUUCAACUUCUCCCUUUGGAAGGUCCCGCAAGCCUGGAAGGCAAUACCCUGCCCCUUAUCUCGCCCUAAUUUGGAGGACAAGAGGAUGUGCGGAAGAGACUGUCCCAUCUGCCCCGGGACAGUACACAAGCAACCACAAUACAAACUAGGCCUUGCUCUUAUUUGUCUUGCUCAACUCCUACCCGUUUUCCGCCCUGAAUCCCGGGUGCCAAUCUGCCCCCACUUCGGCGCUGCGGACACUCACCACGCCACUCGAGGGACGGUUCCUGGAUGUGAGUCACAUCUUGGGCGCUGCCCUGGUGAACCCCCAGCAGCAGCAGCUGCUGCAGCCAGAGCAGCUGCAGCAUCGCUAACCAUUGCACCAUCAGGCACGCUAGGUGACACCCACGGGAAUCAGAACCGUGUCCCCUGCUCUGGACUAGGCUGCAGGAGGCAAGAGAAGCUACCACUCUUCUCGAGGACCACGCCACCCCGGAGCCCUAGAGAUGAACUCGCCUCCCUUGUCGCCA
rnacentral:lncRNA from 1 species